rnacentral:rRNA from 1 species
UACGUAGGGGGCAAGCGUUGUCCGGAAUCAUUGGGCGUAAAGAGCGUGUAGGCGGCCAGAAAAGUCCGCUGUGAAAACUCGAGGCUCAACUUCGAGCUGUCGGUGGAAACUUUCUGGCUAGAGUCCGGAAGAGGAGAAUGGAAUUCCUGGUGUAGCGGUGAAAUGCGCAGAUAUCAGGAAGAACACCCGUGGCGAAGGCGGUUCUCUGGGACGGUACCGACGCUGAGACGCGAAAGCGUGGGGAGCGAACAGG